AGUCAAAGAAGAAGGUGAAUUAAAAGGAAGUUUUAAUUCACUAAGUGAUUGGAUUAAAUAUAAUCAAUUGGAUUGGUGCCAAUCACCUCACUGCCUUGCUAAUUAAAACCUAAAAUGAUUGUACACCGAUACACUCUUGUAGUGAUACCACUAAUGGAUGAUGGAAAUAAUUAAUUGGAUUAAUUAAGUGUUGUGAUUAAUUAGAAAGUCUAAUGAGAUCAUAAAAGUGAUAUAAGAUCGUUUUGGGCUUAAAGAAACGUUCGGGUUUAAUCGGGCCCAUUAGGCCUAGACCCAUUGGGCUUUUAUUCAAGCAUAGGAUGACUUGAAACAAUAAAAGCCCAAAGCCCAAACCAAACACUAAAGGCCGGCCACUUAAAGGGAAAGGGAAAGAGUGAAAGUCAAGUUGUUGACUAGGUUUCUUUUUGUCUAUAUAAGGAACUUUAUAGAGAUAUUUUUAAAAAGGGUUUUUGUGUGUUCAAAACAACUAAAGAGAAAAACAAAAUUACUCUCUCUUCAACACCAAAGGCCGGCCACCUUAAGGGUGAUUUUAGCUAAUCAUUUUUUCACCCUUUUGGUCAUUCCUCCAUCCAUCUCACUACACUAGUGGGUGUGGAUCUUUAGAGGUCUUCUACUUUGGAGACUAAAGGAGAACCAAAGGAGCACUCAUACUAACAAAGUGGAGGAGGCAAGGAGGGAGGCUAGGCUCAAGGAGUUCAAGGAACUAAGGGCUUGGAGGUGGUCCAUCCUUGGUCUAAAAUCUAGAUCAAGAGGUAUAGAUCUAUUCCUACACUUUGUUCUUUACUUAAAUGUUUUGAUGCAUCAUAUAUAAACCUAUGAACCUUGAAGGGGAUUUGCAUGACUAUAGCUUUGAUAUUAUUUGAUAACAUGCUUCCGUUGCUUUCGUAUAUAAAUUUUGAAUUGUAUAUGCAUGCUAGUCAUUAGAAAUCCCACAUGAAUCUCAUAGAUUUCCCUUCAAGUGGUAUCAGAGCCAAAGGUUUAUAUAUGAUGUGUCCUUUUGGAUUUUAUGCAUAUGGGUUUUAAUAUUAUGUAUGACAUGUUAUUGCUUCAUUCAAAAUAUGUUUAUCUUUUGUUUUUCAAUAGUUGAAAAAUGUGAAUCAAUAGUUGAGAAAGAUAUGUAUGCAAAAGGUGUUUUGUAUGCAUGAAUGAAGAAUGAGUUUAGAACAAAUUUUGGGGUUUUGACUCUUAGGGAGGGCAGGGCAAAAAUGGGAAUUUUUGGCUAAGUGUUUGUGUUUUUAUUUUGAAUCACACACUCACACUUUAAAGCUAGAAAGUAGAAAUCUUGUCACUUUUGUUUUUGGGUUUGAAAAAUCACCAAGAAUAUACAAAUCUUGAAAAUAUGUUCAUGGUUUUGUUCUUGGUGUUCAUGGUUUGGUUUUUGGUGAAAAUGGUUUUAUUUGGUUUUCAUGCUUUGUUUUGUGGUUUUGGAUGAUGUUCAUACCAUCCAUAGCCAUAUCUAAAACUUAUUAAAAUCCUAGACUUGACUAGGAGAUUUCCAUCACCCCUUUUCACCUAAGUCUUUAAAGCCAAAACCAAGUGACAAGCAAAAUUUAAUUUUUUCUACUUUAACAUGGUUCAAUGCAUUAUGGGUGAAACUUCCCAUCUCACCUCAAUGUGGCCGGCCUCCCCUAGUGGAUUUAUCCACUUGUGGGGCUAUUUUGUAACUUGGAAAAGGAUAUUUUUACUUUUGAAGUAUUUACAGAUUUACCCCUAACUUUUUCAUAUUUGCAUUUAGGCCCUUACUAACUAGAAAGUUAAAAUAUUUGAUUUUAAUUUUGUUAGUUGUUUAAACUCACAAUACUAUUAUGCCCAUAUGCACUAAAUCUAAAUGUUUAUGUAGCAUUCCAUUUAAUUAUUUAAUGUGAUUAAGUAGUUAGAAAAUGGGUGACUAUGGACUUAUGCCUUAAACGAUAAUUGAGCUAUAAGAUAAGGCGCUAAAAUCAAAUUGUUUGAACCUUGGGAAUGUGUUUUAAUUACUGUUUUAAUUGGACCUUGUCACGUUUGACAUUAAUCUAUCUCUCCCUCUUAGUAUAUGUAAUUUGUAGGAAUUUGUACAAAUCGGUUUGUAAUUCUUAUUACUCCUUAAUCUCUUUUAGUUAGUUAAUUCCCUCUAGUACUAGACUAGAGUUUCUUUAACUAUUGGUAAGGAGACAUAACUAAAAGAGGGUUUUGACAUGAGAUUAAAGAUUAA
rnacentral:lncRNA from 1 species